GGUCUCAGUUCGGAUCGGAGUCUGCAACCCGACUCCGUGAAGCUGGAUUCGCUAGUAAUCGCGAAUCAGCAUGUCGCGGUGAAUACGUUCCCGGGCCUUGUACACACCGCCCGUCACACCAUGAGAGUUGGCAAUACCCAACGUACGUGAUCUAACCCGCAAGGGAGGAAGCGUCCUAAGGUAGGGUCAGCGAUUGGGUGAAGUCGUAACAAGGUACC
rnacentral:rRNA from 1 species